GACGAACGCUGGCGGCGUGCUUAACACAUGCAAGUCGAACGAGUGGCGAACGUGUGAGUAACACGUGGGUGACCUGCCCUGCACUUCGGGAUAAGCCUGGGAAACUGUGUCUAAUACCGGAUAGUGGGGGAUGGGCCCGCGGCCUAUCAGCUUGGUGGGGGGGUAAUGGCUACAAAGGCGAUACGGGUAGCCGGCCUGAGAGGGUGGACGGCCACAUGUGGACUGAGACGAGGCCCAGACGCCUACGGGAGGCAGCAGUGGGGAAUAUUGCACAAUGGGCGGAAGCCUGAUGCAGCGACGCCGCGUGGGGGAUGACGGCCUUCGGGUUGUAAAGCACUUUAAGUUGUGAGGCGUUACCAACAGAAUAAGCACCGGCUAACUUCGUGCCAGCAGCCGCGGUAAUAC
rnacentral:rRNA from 1 species